CUGCAUUGGCAGGAACUAAUGGGGAUCUAUAAUAAACUCCAGGGAGUGUAGAUGCUGGGCCAAACGAGACCUUGAGCUUCGGUUUGGUACUUUUCCCUGUUGAAAUAAAUUAUAAACCAAUUACUUGUUACGGUGUUUGCAUUCAAGGUCAGGAUUAUAUAUAAAGGUAUCAGCAUACAGCAGUAAAUUCACUUGAAAGUGCUACCCAGAGUGCAUGAUAUUCGGGGGUUUCUAUUUUCUUUAACAGGACCUUGCAUACACACAAAACAUUUAAUGGGCUUUACAGUAAAGACAUGUAAUUUAACUGUACAAAUGUAUGACCUUUGAAUGUGUCUUGAACACAACCAGUCAAGAUGUUUUCAUCUAACUGUUAAACAAAUCAAUUCAUAAAGUAGGUACAGUAAGUUACCUGUAGUAGGUACAGUAGGUUACCUGUAGUAGGUACAGUAGGCUACCUGUAGUUGGUACAGUAGGCUACCUGUAGUAGGUACAGUAGGCUACCUGUAGUUGGUACAGUAGGCUACCUGUAGUAGGUACAGCAGGCUACCUGUAGUAGGUACAGUAGGCUACCUGUAGUAGGUACAGCAGGCUACCUGUAGAAGGUACAGUAGGUUACUUGUAGUAGGUAUAUUAGGCUACCUGUAGUAGGUACAGUAGGUUACCUGUAGUAGGUACAGUGGGCUACCUGUAGUAGGUACAGCAG
rnacentral:lncRNA from 1 species